rnacentral:rRNA from 1 species
ACGGGAGGCAGCAGUGGGGAAUAUUGGGCAAUGGGCGAAAGCCUGACCCAGCGACGCCGCGUGAGCGAUGAAGGUCUUCGGGUUGUAAACUUCUUUUAUCAGGGACGAAGGAAGUGACGGUACCUGAUGAAUAAGCCACGGCUAACUACGUGCCAGCAGCCGCGGUAAUACGUAGGUGGCAAGCGUUAUCCGGAUUUACUGGGUGUAAAGGGCGCGUAGGCGGGGAUGCAAGUCAGAUGUGAAAUCCAUGGGCUUAACCCAUGAACUGCAUUUGAAACUGUAUCUCUUGAGUGUCGGAGAGGUAGACGGAAUUCCUAGUGUAGCGGUGAGAUGCGUAGAUAUUAGGAGGAACACCAGUGGCGAAGGCGGUCUACUGGACGAUAACUGACGCUGAGGCGCGAAAGCGUGGGGAGCAAACAGGAUUAGAUACCCUGGUA